rnacentral:rRNA from 1 species
CUCCUAAAGAGUAACGGAGGAGCACGAAGGUUGGCUAAUCCUGGUCGGACAUCAGGAGGUUAGUGCAAUGGCAUAAGCCAGCUUGACUGCGAGCGUGACGGCGCGAGCAGGUGCGAAAGCAGGUCAUAGUGAUCCGGUGGUUCUGAAUGGAAGGGCCAUCGCUCAACGGAUAAAAGGUACUCCGGGGAUAACAGGCUGAUACCGCCCAAGAGUUCAUAUCGACGGCGGUGUUUGGCACCUCGAUGUCGGCUCAUCACAUCCUGGGGCUGAAGUAGGUCCCAAGGGUAUGGCUGUUCGCCAUUUAAAGUGGUACGCGAGCUGGGUUUAGAACGUCGUGAGACAGUUCGGUCCCUAUCUGCCGUGGGCGCUGGAGAACUGAGGGGGGCUGCUCCUAGUACGAGAGGACCGGAGUGGACGCAUCACUGGUGUUCGGGUUGUCAUGCCAAUGGCACUGCCCGGUAGCUAAAUGCGGAAGAGAUAAGUGCUGAAAGCAUCUAAGCACGAAACUUGCCCCGAGAUGAGUUCUCCCUGACUCCUUGAGAGUCCUGAAGGAACGUUGAAGACGACGACGUUGAUAGGCCGGGUGUGUAAGCGCAGCGAUGCGUUGAGCUAACCGGUACUAAUGAACCGUGAGGCUUAACCUU